rnacentral:tRNA from 1 species
AGUGGGGUGGCUGAAUGAUUAGGCGAUAAAUUGUAAAUUUAUUUAUGAAGAUUAAUUUCCUCUACUA